CAUCAGGUCUCUUCACUGCUCUGAUUGCCAGAAGCCUGUCUGGACUGUGUCCAGAUAUACAUUCUCAAUCACAGAAGAUUAAAGAAGCAAGUACAGGAAAUGAUGUGUACUGUUUCAUAUUGUCUAUUCUGCGUCUAUGUAGACAGGUCAGCAAUGCUAAUGAGCAAAACAAAGUAAAUUUAUGUUCCUGAAGCUGUGGGCCCUCUCCUGACAACCUAUCCUCAAGAGUUCAUUUAUUACCAUGUGGUAAGAAGCAGACCUUGGACUGCCUGACACGAUGAACAAAGAGGAAUCUAAGGCAUGGAGACUACUAGAGAAAGGAAGAUGGUUUAGAAGGGGAGGCAGGAGCCAGAGUGAAUUCCCAUCACGUUCCUACACAUGGAACAAGAUCAGACACAGUUGAUCCACCUGAAGACCAACUGCGUAAAAAAUUGUCGUUCAGCUGUAGCUGUUGU